UACCACGCCCCCUGGACAGAUCCUCAAAUCCUCGCACGCGCAAACUACAAACUACACCCUACAAAAACGAGUACAUGUGGAUUACGGUGGCCCACUGGAGCCAAAAAACCACCCACAACCCUUUCUAGUGGUAUCAAGGGUGAAUAUAAUGGAUUGAUCACCAGACUAAACACCUCCAGGGAGAUUUUAGGAUCAGCACUGUGGGAGAACUCCAUUCUCUUCUGUGGGAUUAGUACAGACAGGAUAACCAUCACCAUGCACAUCAAUGAACCCAGGGCACUCAUGACCUUAUUAUCAGUUGUCCUUCAUUAAACCAUGUUUGGUGUGUACUAACAACAGCCUGGCCCAGUCAUCUACUUUAAUUACAAUUUGUCCCCCUGUAGCCACUUGCAAGCCUCCUGCUUGAACUGACCCACCCCAUGGCAGGUACCAUUACAAGAUAAUCAAUGCUAUUCACAUCACCUGUCAGUCGCCUUAAUAUUAUGAUGGAUUAAUUUGUAUAUUAUUCUAAACAUCAAUAACCAACCACACAAAUAAAUAGCAGGACAAACCUUUGUACUAAAAUGAGUUUAUUACAGCCAAUCCUCUCUCCAUUACUCCUCCAUCAAGACAAUACAGUACAAGCAAAAUUGUUCAAUAAACCCUAAAUGUUUUUUUUUUCUCUGAUUUAUGAAUACUUUAAUAUAAUCUCAAGCCAUUAUCUUUUAGACAUUCAGUAACAUGUUUCACAAUCUAUACAUUUGGAUACAGAUUACACAUGAAUUGUAGUGGUGAUGCUCAACCAGAGAACAAUGAAUACUGACAUUAAUCUUUACAGAAAUGUACCAUUUCUUCCUUUAUGAGCCCCUUUAUCCAUUUUAUUUCUUCCACAUUGGCAAUAGAGUGCAAUAUUCUGUAAAAUAACCACUGCUGAAUUCACUGGAGAAGAGACUCUGCAGUAGUGACUAAGAUUGGCUGCUGUGAGAUGGCACAGUGUUUUAUUGGAGGUUUAACCUCCAACACCUAGAAAACAUAAAACAAAUAUAUUUAUACAGUUGACACCAGUAUUAUGUCAGUAUUAUAUAUCAGUAUUACACAUCCCCUAAAUUUAGUCAGUAGGACAAAAGUAAAAAAAAAAAAAAAAAAAAA